CCCCCAUAGCUGUGCUAUUGGAUCUCCCUUUUCUUUAUCACUCAGUAAGACUUACAGGCCAGGUUCAGCUCUGCAUCCUCGGUGCCAGAAUAAUCUAAGAAUGGGUCCCUACAACUUUUCAAGUCUGUGUGUUGCACACAUCAAGGGCCACUAAGGCUGUGUCUGUGCUAGUAUUUUACUUGAUUUCAGAAUUGCAUAAAUCAAGUUCUCAGCUUGAAUGUGUUUGGCAUGUCCUUGAGAAAGAAAUGGCAUGUAGAAAUUCCCAUUUCCACUAAACAAAUAUUUAUCGAGCAUUUCACACAUACUAGGAAAUACUAAAGAUGCAAAGUGGAAUGUGAUGGGGUCCCUGGAUCCCAUUUUGUCACGGGAAUUAAGUGAGGUGUUGAGCAAACAUUUGUAAAGAUGGAUGAAUAAAUAAUGAAUACGAGAAUUUAAUCUUAAAAAAAUCCCAGCGUUUUACCUUCAUAAUUGUUUAGAGACAGUUGAAUGUGUGCUACUUCUGCAAAGUUGGAAACCCAUCUUCAAAUUCAUUCCUUCGUUUACUCAUUCAUUCAAACUAGAGUUACUGAGCAUCUGUUGUAUUUUGAGUACAUGAAUAAAUACUGGUUUCUGGAUGGGAGCCACUAACCCCGCCCAAACUGUGGACAAAUAUUAUGGGCCCUUCAAGUCCAAAUGAAAUGUCAACACAAAAGAGCUAUUUGCAAUGCAAAUGUGAAGUCACCAGCCUUUGUAAUAAACAGGCUGCGGAGACAAACCAUGCAAGCUUCUUGUGAGAAGGUGGGCCUUAGCAGUUUUGAUGAAUUACAGAGGCAGUGGAACUCAAAGGACUCCUAAUUUGUUUAUCUUUUGUCCCUGAGGUGACCAGCCUCACUCUAUACCUGAGCAGGGAUGCCAGACAACUGGUCUGUUUGUAAACCAACCAACCAAACAACCAACCGAACAACCAGUUUCUGCCUGCAGAUCAAUUUAUUUAUUCAUUUAACUUAUUUUGUAAUACUGAACCCAGGGCCUCACACAUGCUAGGCAAGAGCUUCGGGUGAGUUACAUCCACAGCUUUCUUUUCACUUAAUUAUUUUUUUUGUGUGUGUAUCUAUGUAUGAUGUAUAUGUAUGAUAUGUAUGCGCGCACGCAUGCAUGUGUAGAGGUCAGGAGAUAACUUUUAGGAGCCAGUUCAGCCUUCUACCUUGUUUGAGACCAGCUCUCUCUUGUUUCUGUUAGUGUUCUGUGUGCUCCAGGCUAGCUGGCUUGGCAGCCUCCGCUGAUUCUCUUGUCUGGGCUCCAUCUCACUGUUGGAGUGCUGGGAUUACAGAUGCGCACUAUCAAAUCGGGUUGUUGUUUUUUUUUAAUGUGGGUUCCAGGGUUCAAAAUUCAGACCGCCAGGCUUGCACUUUUACCUGCCGAGUUACCUCCUUGGUCCCCAGAUCAUAGUUUUUGAAUCAUUAUGGGAAACAUUCCUUUUGGAGAAUAUGCUCAAAGCAAUGAACAUAUACCUCUUUUCAGAAUAGUUCCUUGGGAACCCCAAGUCAAGGUUGAGGUCUUUGAAAUGGAAUCUCCUUCUUAAUUCCAAAAGUGGUCCCACCCAACUUCUUUUCAUUAUGUUGGAGACAGAAUGUGUGUGCAUGUAUGUGUUUCAUAUAUAUUGAGUGACAGGUCCAUUUGGAUACCUGUCAUUUUGGUUCUGGUGUACUUCAGAGGUACCCCCUGAUAAGGGGGAUAUCCUUGGAUCUAUCAUUAACCACAAACAUUUCCAAUAUGUUUAUUAGAUUGCAGUUGAGCCAGGCAGUGGUGGUGCAGGCCUUUAAUCCCAGCACUUGGGAGGCAGAGCCAAGUGGAUCUCUGGAUCUCUGUGAGUUCGAGCCCAGCCUGGUCUACUGAGUAAGAUCCAGGACAGGCACCAAAACUACACAGAGAAACCCUGUUUUGAAAAACAAACAAACAAAAAACCCCAAAACAAACCAAACAAAUUGCAGUUGGGUCUCGUGUUGGUCAUCCUAGCCUUUUUUUUUGGUUUUUCGAGACAGGGUUUCUCUGUGUAGCUUUGCGCCUUUCCUGGAACUCACUUGGUAGUCCAGGCUGGCCUCGAACUCACAGAGAUCCGCCUGGCUCUGCCUCCCGAGUGCUGGGAUUAAAGGCGUGCGCCACCACCGCCCGGCAUCCUAGCCUUUUUAAUCUGGUCUUAUUUCAAUUACCUGCUCCAGAGCCUCACCAUAUAAUUGAAUCAGGGUUGGCAAUGAGAAAAGCUAGGUUGGGGUUGGGGAAAGGCCAGUAGCCAUGGUGACCACUCUUGUUGUUCUGUUGCUCUCUACAAGAGGAGGUGGGGAAGGGAAGAUUCCAUCUGUGUCAGUGUCUGCAGAGCUCUCAACACCUCAGAUGCUGCGAGUCUUUAUUUGUACCCAUUUAAUCACAGUCUCCCUCGCCCCAGGAACCUGGCACCGUGUCCUCAAAGGGCUGAGUCAGAAGCUAAUCUGUAGGAUUCUCCAUUCAGACUGACACUGCCUCCGUCAUGAUUCAAGGAUUAAAAAAAAAAGUGUAGCCUCCACACUCUAGGAGUUUACAGUGAGUGAAGAGACAGGAAAAGAGAACAGCUUCCGCAGAGCGUCCACUCACAGCUCUGUUCUGCUCUGAGUCUCCGGUUCCUUAUCAACAAGAUGGAGGCAAAUAGAAGCAACCUGAAUGGGAUGGCGACGGAAGAAUAAAGUGAGGCGUGUGAUAGUGUGGCGAGGAAGAGCCGACCCUGGGCAAUGGACUCAUCCUGCACCUUGGGUGGCUGGAGAGAUGGACAGUUGAGGCUCUGGGCUGCCAUCUCUCUGUGGGACCUGACAGCUGCUGCCCCUGGGACCAGGGAACCCUGGAACCUCAGACUGCAGGGUGGGAUCCUGGGACACUCCACCUGUUUCUCUGCCCUGUCUAUUUGUCUUUGGGGGAGAUGAGUGCUCUUAUCUGUGGAGCCUACCUGCCUCUCCUCCCUGUGAAAACAUCCAAAUGCUGCGAGAACUCUUCCAUGAGGUGGUUGAUGUAAGAUCCACUGGUCUUGUCCUUCAUUUAUGAUUACUUAUAACUACAAAUUUUCAACCCUAUAAAGUGAGAAAACACAGGUUGAAUAUCCUUUAUCUGAAAUCUGAGACGGGAGGUGUUUUGGACUUUUUUUUUUUUCAGAUUUGAGGGAUAUUUGCAUAGCAUAAUAAAUUAUUUUGGAGAGAGGAACUCCCAUCUCAUCUAGACUUCAUUAUGUUCCAUAUAUAUCUUUGUGAUGGUUCUAAUUGUCAGCUUGACAUGAUCUAGAGUCAUUCAGGAAGAGAGUCUCCACGAAAGACUGACCGAUCAGGUUGACCCAUGGGGGACUGUCUUGAUUACAUUAAUUGCAGUGGAAAAAUCCACCAUUCUCUGGGAUUGGGAGUCCAGGAUUGUGUGCAUGUAGAGUGAUCUGAGCAUAAGAGUUAUACAUACCUUCAUUUCUCUCUCUGCUUGGCUGUGGAUGUGGUGAACCGUUUGAACUUCCUGCAGCCUUGACCUCCCUGUCACCAUGGACUGUAACCUGGAGCUGUGAACUAAAAUAAACCCUGUGGUGCUUUGACAGGAAAUGCCCCCCAAAGGGAGUGGCAUUAUUAGGUGUGGCUUCGUUGGAGCAGGUGUGGCCUUGUUGGAGGACAUGCAUCACCGUUGGGGGUGGGCUUUGAGGUCUUCUAUGCUCCAGCAACAUUCUGUGAGGCACACAGUUGCUUCUGCUGCCUGUGGAUCAAGAUGUAGAACUCUCAGCCCCUUCUCCAGCACCAUGUCUGCCUGUAUACCACUGCAAUGAUGAUAAUAACAGACCAAACCUCUGAACUGUCAGCCAGCCCCAAUGAAAUGUUUUCCUUUAUAAGAGUUGCUGUGGUCAUGGUGUCUCUUCACAGCAAUAGAAACCCUGACUAAGACAAACCCUUUCUCUCAGAAGUUGCUUUUAAGAAGAAUUGUAUCAUGUUAAUAGAAAUAAAACCAGUACAACUUUA